GAUGAACGCUGGCGGCGUGCCUAAUACAUGCAAGUCGAGCGAACAGACGAGGAGCUUGCUCCUUUGACGUUAGCGGCGGACGGGUGAGUAACACGUGGACAACCUACCUAUCAUACUGGGAUAACUUCGGGAAACCGGAGCUAAUACCGGAUAAUAUAUUGAAGCGCAUGGUUCAAUAGUGAAAGACGGUUUUGCUGUCACUUAUAGAUGGAUCCGCGCCGCAUUAGCUAGUUGGUAAGGUAACGGCUUACCAAGGCGACGAUGCGUAGCCGACCUGAGAGGGUGAUCGGCCACACUGGAACUGAGACACGGUCCAGACUCCUACGGGAGGCAGCAGUAGGGAAUCUUACGCAAUGGGCGAAAGCCUGACGGAGCAACGCCGCGUGAGUGAUGAAGGUCUUCGGAUCGUAAAGCUCUGUUAUUAGGGAAGAACAAAUGUGUAAGUAAAUAUGCCCGUCUUGACGGUACCUAAUCAGAAAGCCACGGCUAACUACGUG
rnacentral:rRNA from 1 species